ensembl:lncRNA
AAUGCAAGGAAUUAGCUUAUCUACAAGAUUGUGCUAGUGCCAAGACUGACUUCCAGAGCAUCCUGGUGCAUUGACCUUCCUGUCAGCAUCAGAGUUCUUCAUUGCAAGAAAAAGAAGCAGAUUCUCGUUAAAUUAAACAGGGAGAAAUUUAUUGGAAAGAUAGACAACAUUCCCAGAAUCAAUCAGAGAUGGACAAUCAGCCUCCCAGAUGUACAUUCCACAAAAACACACUCAGUGGAGGAAAAUAAAUUCUCCAACUGAGAGGCUACUCUUCGGAAAGAGAAAUACAUUCUGAAUAGCAAAAUGUGUCUGUAGGAAUCAGAUAAUUUCCUAAGAGGAGUGUUUCACCACUAGAUGAUAAACAAUGAUCUAUGGGAGUGGUGAGGAAGCCAGAUCAGAGAAGGCACCACAGAUUCGGAAGAGCAAGGAGAGGCUCCAGUGACUGGAGACACGCUUCACAGGGUCUGCACAAGCCCACUGUUGAAUAAUGGCAUAAAAUAAAAACGAAUAUAAAUCAAUGAGAAAAAUUAUGAAACACAGCACAUGCAACAACAGCAAAGAAUUAAAUCUCUGAAGUUAAAGUUAACUAAAAGCAUGUCAGUGAUCAGUGAUCAACGAGGUUGGACGCACAUAGUCAACCAACUUGUUUUCUUCCUUUUAUUGUGCUAUUAAUAUAAUAAAAAACUUGGAGAGGAAUUUAUU